GUGAACGCUGGCGGUAGGCCUAACACAUGCAAGUCGAACGGCAGCACAGUAAGAGCUUGCUCUUACGGGUGGCGAGUGGCGGACGGGUGAGGAAUACAUCGGAAUCUACUUUUUCGUGGGGGAUAACGUAGGGAAACUUACGCUAACACCGCAUACGACCUACGGGUGAAAGCAGGGGAUCUUCGGACCUUGCGCGAUUGAAUGAGCCGAUGUCGGAUUAGCUAGUUGGCGGGGUAAAGGCCCACCAAGGCGACGAUCCGUAGCUGGUCUGAGAGGAUGAUCAGCCACACUGGAACUGAGACACGGUCCAGACUCCUACGGGAGGCAGCAGUGGGGAAUAUUGGACAAUGGGCGCAAGCCUGAUCCAGCCAUACCGCGUGGGUGAAGAAGGCCUUCGGGUUGUAAAGCCCUUUUGUUGGGAAAGAAAAGCAGCAGGUUAAUACCCCGCUGUUCUGACGGUACCCAAAGAAUAAGCACCGGCUAACUUCGUG
rnacentral:rRNA from 1 species